UGGGGGGAGAAGGUUUGGGGAAGGCUGGUGGACAUUUGUUGGAUAGCAGAUGAAAGGUAAUGUUAUUGAAUCUCACAUUAGAAAGAGGCCAAAGUAAGGAAUUUACAUGUGGGAAAAAUUGAUAGAACUGUUGCCUUAAGGCUUUUGGUUGACUGUGGUGUGAAAACACACACACACCACGCACAUAUAUGGAUCUCGCACAGGCUGUGCGAAAUCUCCCUUGUUUUGGGCUUCCCCCUAGUCAUAACAGGGUUAAGGGAGGGAAAGUGUUUCCCUUGUGUAGCUUAGCCAUUUGAUAAAAGGGGAAGAAAAGAGAAGAUUCUAAAAUAAAAAGGGAAGAUGCAUGGAAACGCUAUUUGCUGUAUACAGACCUUUAAAAAAAUUUGUGGAGGCGUUAACGAGUCAUUCUUCUUUUUAACUUCAUUUCCAAGCACAUUCCUUUUAAAGCAUUUUUUUUUUCUUGACUAUGCCUGGGUGCAUGUGCUUGAGAUAUAUUAAAAUCCAUAAAUAAUUUAGUACCGCAAUUUUCAUCCUUCAACAGUUAAGCUAGCUAGCAUUAAUGUUGUUUGAAUGGAAAGUGAAUGUAGAUAUCAUUAGAGCAGGCUGCUCUGGAGAACUGUUGUCAUAUAGCUAUAAAUUAAUUGUGGUAACUUUCAGUAUCCCUUGUUGGCCACGAAGUCUAAAUAUUGUCUUGUCUUCAAGCUACACAUGGUUGUUGAUGGUAGCUUUACUCAAUAUUCACACUGUUGAGACACCUUAUG
rnacentral:misc_RNA from 1 species